GGGUCGUUAGCUCAGUUGGUAGAGCGCCUCCUUUACACGGAGGAUGUCGGCGGUUCGAGUCCGUCACGACCCACCA
rnacentral:tRNA from 1 species